AGUGAACGCUGGCGGUAGGCCUAACACAUGCAAGUCGAACGGCAGCACAGUAAGAGCUUGCUCUUACGGGUGGCGAGUGGCGGACGGGUGAGGAAUACAUCGGAAUCUACUUUUUCGUGGGGGAUAACGUAGGGAAACUUACGCUAAUACCGCAUACGACCUACGGGUGAAAGCAGGGGAUCUUCGGACCUUGCGCGAUUGAAUGAGCCGAUGUCGGAUUAGCUAGUUGGCGGGGUAAAGGCCCACCAAGGCGACGAUCCGUAGCUGGUCUGAGAGGAUGGUCAGCCACACUGGAACUGAGACACGCUCCAGACUCCUACGGGAGGCAGCAGUGGGGAAUAUUGGACAAUGGGCGCAAGCCUGAUCCAGCCAUACCGCGUGGGUGAAGAAGGCCUUCGGGUUGUAAAGCCCUUUUGUUGGGAAAGAAAAGCAGCAGGUUAAUACCCCGCUGUUCUGACGGUAACCAAAGAAUAAGCACCGGCUAACUUCGUG
rnacentral:rRNA from 1 species